rnacentral:rRNA from 1 species
GACGAACGCUGGCGGCGUGCCUAAUACAUGCAAGUAGAACGCUGAAGGAGGAGCUUGCUCUUCUGGAUGAGUUGCGAACGGGUGAGUAACGCGUAGGUAACCUGCCUGGUAGCGGGGGAUAACUAUUGGAAACGAUAGCUAAUACCGCAUAACAGUAGUUGUGCCUGAACAUUUCCUAAAAAGGUGCAAUUUCACCAUUACCAAUUGGACCUGCGUUGUAUUAGUUAGUUGGUGGGGAAACGGCUCACCAAGGCGACGAUACAUAGCCGACCUGAGAGGGUGAUCGGCCACACUGGGACUGAGACACGGCCCAGACUCCUACGGGAGGCAGCAGUAGGGAAUCUUCGGCAAUGGACGGAAGUCUGACCGAGCAACGCCGCGUGAGUGAAGAAGGUUUUCGGAUCGUAAAGCUCUGUUGUAAGAGAAGAACGAGUGUGAGAGUGGAAAGUUCACACUGUGACGGUAUCUUACCAGAAAGGGACGGCUAACUACGUG